UCCGGUUUAGCACCGGCAGUCCUCCCAGAGUCCCCGCCAUAACGCGCUGGCAACUGGGAGCGGGGGUUGCGCUCGUUGCGGGACUUAACCCAACAUCUCACGACACGAGCUGACGACAGCCAUGCAGCACCUGUGCACGGGCUCCGAAGAGGGCACUCGGUUUCUCGAGCGUUUCCCGUGUAUGUCAAGCCUAGGUAAGGUUCUUCGCGUUGCGUCGAAUUAAACCACAUGCUCCACCGCUUGUGCGGGCCCCCGUCAAUUCCUUUGAGUUUCAGCCUUGCGGCCGUACUCCCCAGGCGGGGCACUUAAUGCGUUAGCGACGACACUCAGGGGGUCGCUCCCCCAAGCAUCUAGUGCCCAUCGUUUACGGCGUGGACUAC
rnacentral:misc_RNA from 1 species